CCUACGGGUGGCAGCAGUGGGGGAUAUUGCACAAUGGGGGAAACCCUGACGCAGCGACGCCGCGUGGAGGAAGAAGUCUUUCGGGUUGUAAAGUUCUAUCAGGAGGGAAGAGGAAAUGACGGUACCUCUGUAAGAAGCCACGGCUAACUACGUGCCAGCAGCCGCGGUAAUACGUAGGGGGCAAGCGUUAUCCGGAUUUACUGGGUGUAAAGGGCGUGUAGCCGGGCUGACAAGUCAGUUGUGAAAGCCCGUGGCUCAACCCCGGCACUGCAUUGGAAACUGUCGGUCUGGAGUACCGGAGAGGCAGGCGGAAUUCCUAGUGUAGCGGUGAAAUGCGUAGAUAUUAGGAGGAACACCAGUGGCGAAGGCGGCCUGCUGGACGACAACUGACGGUGAGGCGCGAAAGCGUGGGGAGCAAACAGGAUUAGAUACCCCUGUAGUC
rnacentral:rRNA from 1 species